AUUGAACGCUGGCGGCAGGCCUAACACAUGCAAGUCGAACGAGUGGCGGACGGGUGAGUCAUGUCUGGGAAACUGCCUGAUGGAGGGGGAUAACUACUGGAAACGGUAGCUAAUACCGCAUACCAUCGGAUGUGCCCAGUUGGGAUUAGCUAGUGGGUGGGGUAAAGGCUAACCUAGGCGACGAUCCCUAGCUGGUCUGAGAGGAUGACCAGCCCUCCUGGAACUGAGGCACGGUCCAGACUCCUACGGGAGGCAGCAGUGGGGAAUAUUGCACAAUGGGCGCAAGCCUGAUGCAGCCAUGCCGCUUGUAUGAAGAAGGCCUUCGGGUUGUAAAGUACUUUCAGCGGGGAGGCGUUACCCGCAGAAGAAGCACCGGCUAACUCCGUGCCAGCAGCCGCGGUAAUAU
rnacentral:rRNA from 1 species